GAGUUUGAUCCUGGCUCAGGAUGAACGCUGGCGGCGUGCCUAACACAUGCAAGUCGAGCGAAGCACUUUACUUGAUUUCUUCGGAUUGAAGGUAUAGUGACUGAGCGGCGGACGGGUGAGUAACGCGUGGGUAACCUGCCUCAUACAGGGGGAUAACAGUUAGAAAUGACUGCUAAUACCGCAUAAGACCACAGCACCGCAUGGUGCGGGGGUAAAAACUCCGGUGGUAUGAGAUGGACCCGCGUCUGAUUAGCUAGUUGGUAAGGUAAGGGCUUACCAAGGCGACGAUCAGUAGCCGACCUGAGAGGGUGACCGGCCACAUUGGGACUGAGACACGGCCCAAACUCCUACGGGAGGCAGCAGUGGGGAAUAUUGCACAAUGGGGGAAACCCUGAUGCAGCGACGCCGCGUGAGUGAUGAAGUAUUUCGGUAUGUAAAGCUCUAUCAGCAGGGAAGAAAAUGACGGUACCUGACUAAGAAGCACCG
rnacentral:rRNA from 1 species